rnacentral:rRNA from 1 species
AACGCAGCGAAGGGCGAUAAGUAAUGUGAAUUGCAGAAUUCAGUGAAUCAUCGAAUCUUUGAACGCACCUUGCGCCCUUUGGUAUUCCGAAGGGCAUGCCUGUUUGAGUGUCAUUAAAUUAUCAACCUUGCUCGCUUUUACUAGCUCUAGGCUUGGUGAUGGGCAAUGUCAUCUAGGCAUGCCUGAAAAUCAGAGGCAGUGAAGCCUGAGUGCGGAAGCGUAGUGAUAAUUUUAUAACCGCUUAGGCCUCAGGUGAAGCUUGCAGAACACCGAAACUCUUGUUUUUGACCUCGGAUCAGGUAGGGAUACCCGCUGAACUUAA